rnacentral:rRNA from 1 species
AUUGAACGCUGGCGGCAGGCCUAACACAUGCAAGUCGAGCGGGGUUUUCGGGCCUAGCGGCGGACGGGUGAGUAAUGCGUAGGAAGCUGCCCGAUAGAGGGGGAUACCAGUUGGAGACGACUGUUAAUACCGCAUAAUGUCUACGGACCAAAGUGUGGGACCUUCGGGCCACAUGCUAUCGGAUGCGCCUACGUGGGAUUAGCUAGUUGGUGAGGUAAUGGCUCACCAAGGCGACGAUCUCUAGCUGGUUUGAGAGGAUGAUCAGCCACACUGGAACUGAGACACGGUCCAGACUCCUACGGGAGGCAGCAGUGGGGAAUAUUGGACAAUGGGCGCAAGCCUGAUCCAGCCAUGCCGCGUGCGUGAAGAAGGCCUUCGGGUUGUAAAGCACUUUCAGCGAGGAGGAAGGGUGGUGUGUUAAUAGCACAUCAUUUUGACGUUACUCGCAGAAGAAGCACCGGCUAACUCUGUGCCAGCCGCCGCCGUAACAC